AUACGGAAGGUCCUGGCGUUAUCCGGAUUUAUUGGGUUUAAAGGGAGCGCAGGCCGGUGUGUAAGCGUGACGUCAAAUACAGCCGCUCAACGGUUGUCCGCGUCGCGAACUGCACGCCUUGAGUACGCUGCAAGUGGGCGGAAUUCGUGGUGUAGCGGUGAAAUGCUUAGAUAUCACGAAGAACUCCGAUUGCGAAGGCAGCCCGCUGUCGCGUGACUGACGCUGAGGCUCGAAGGUGCGGGUAUCGAACAGGAUUAGAUACCCUGGUAGUCCGCACUGUAAACGAUGGACACCCGCUGUGUGGCCUGUUAUGGCUGCGCGGCCAAGCGAAAGCAUUAAGUGUCCCACCUGGGGAGUACGCCGGCAACGGUGAAACUCAAAGGAAUUGACGGGG
rnacentral:rRNA from 1 species